CUAGUCUCUAUGUAAAAAACAAAUUGGUCAUUUUCUACUUGGACAUCCCAGAAUAGAAAGUACAUUGAAGUAUUUAAAAAUAAAGGGAUAGACUUGGGGUUAAGGGAGAUGUCAUAGAACAGCUAUCCUGGGUUAGUUCAAGUGUAGUCCUAUUCCAUGCUAGGCAAAGUCAAGGUUACAAAAAUCCCAGUUGCAUCAGGUUUCCAUUUUUUUAUCAUUAUUUCCCUAUACAAUGAUACAAGUUAAAAAAAAGUCGGUAAAUACUUUUGGCCAUCAAUUUUCAAGAUUUCAUUGGUGAUAUUAAGGAAAUGCUGUAAGUAGGUAACACAUAAUGUCAUAUUUGUGUGCUGUAGAAGUAUCUUGGAAAAUAUGGACUUUAAAACCUCAAUAUAUGGGUUUGCAAUCGAACAUACAUUCACCCCCAAAUUUGACCUUUUUCAGCUAGUUAUUUUCUCAUAUAAAGUUACUAUACUUACACCAUUAUCUUUAAUCCCUGAAAUUUCAAUUAUACUAGAAAUCAAGAUUCUUCAUUUUUACUCACGAAACUGACACUAAGUAUAUACCUCAUUAAGGACAAGAAGCUAUGAAUUCUCUGGACUUCAGUUAUCUCACAGAAAAGAGCUUGAUUGAAUAAUGUCUAAGGCUCUUCCUGACAUAGUCUAAAUAACAGAAGGUGUCUCACAAGAAAUGGAAGCAGUGAGAGAAAAAUGCAAUUAAAUCCUAGACUAGAAAGAAUCACAAUUUUCCCACUCACAGGUUGGAAAUGCCUCUCUAUUCUAUCACAAUUUUGAAAACCUCCAUAGUUUUACUAGCUUUGCCUUUCUCCCUUGCUAUCAUCUUCUGAGGUACAGACAGUCCUUUCCAUUUUUAUUCCUCUCCCACUCUGAUAAUUUUUUUCUUUGACAGAAGUCCCACUUUAUCAUUAAUGAUGACAAUAACUAAAGCUGCCAGGAACAGCACAUCUGCUGAGCUUUAUCAACACCAGAUUCUCUCAUUUUGCCUUCUGGAUCUCCAUGCUUUUUUAUACCAACAAACAAGAGGAAGAAUAUUCUCUACCCACUUCCUUGACUGAAGCCUGCUCUUUUAUGAAGACAUGGCAUCUCUUCCAACAGUGUCAAACAGAUGCAAUUUAUGUGUCUGCUGCUUCCAUACCCUGAUUAAAUGGGUCAGUGGCAGAAUCAGUAUCCUUAAUCUCCCCUUUGGUUUCAAAUAUGUACUCCUUAUUUCAGUUUCAUGCUCACCUUUCUGUAGAGAUCAAGGCAUCUGCCUUUGCAGCUUUACCUCUUCCUCCAGGUUAUAGUUUCCAUUCAUGGAAUCUUUUAGCUGCUGGCUGGCAGUUUUCCUGUCUACCUGACUUCCAUUCCUCUUCUCAUGACUUCAGCUCCCAUGCAGAUGUCUUAUCCUGACACACUAGCUUCUCCAUUCUAUUUCUGUGUGUGUGUGUCUGUGUGUUUCCCUACUAGUUCAUCCA
rnacentral:lncRNA from 1 species